rnacentral:rRNA from 1 species
UACGUAGGGUGCAAGCGUUGUUCGGAAUUAUUGGGCGUAAAGCGCGUGUAGGCGGUUAUCUAAGUCUGAUGUGAAAGCCCGGGGCUUAACUCCGGAAGUGCAUUGGAUACUGGAUAGCUAGAGGACAAGAGAGGAAAGUGGAAUUCCUGGUGUAGGGGUGAAAUCCGUAGAUAUCAGGAGGAACAUCGGUGGCGAAGGCGGCUUUCUGGCUUGUAUCUGACGCUGAGACGCGAAAGCAUGGGGAGCAAACAGG